CACAUGCAAGUCGAGGGGCAGCAUGAACUUAGCUUGCUAAGUUUGAUGGCGACCGGCGCACGGGUGAGUAACGCGUAUCCAACCUGCCCUUUACUCGGGGAUAGCCUUCUGAAAGGAAGUUUAAUACCCGAUGAAUUCGUUUAGUCGCAUGGCUUGAUGAAGAAAGAUUUAUCAGUAAAGGAUGGGGAUGCGUCCCAUUAGCUUGUUGGCGGGGUAACGGCCCACCAAGGCGACGAUGGGUAGGGGUUCUGAGAGGAAGGUCCCCCACAUUGGAACUGAGACACGGUCCAAACUCCUACGGGAGGCAGCAGUGAGGAAUAUUGGUCAAUGGGCGCGAGCCUGAACCAGCCAAGUAGCGUGGAGGACGACGGCCCUACGGGUUGUAAACUCCUUUUAUAAGGGGAUAAAGUUGGCCAUGUAUAGCCAUUUGCAGGUACCUUAUGAAUAAGCAUCGGCUAAUUCCGUGCCAGCAGCCGCGGUAAUACGGAAGAUGCGAGCGUUAUCCGGAUUUAUUGGGUUUAAAGGGAGCGUAGGCGGGCAGUCAAGUCAGCGGUCAAAUGGCGCGGCUCAACCGCGUUCCGCCGUUGAAACUGGCAGCCUUGAGUAUGCACAGGGUACAUGGAAUUCGUGGUGUAGCGGUGAAAUGCUUAGAUAUCACGAGGAACUCCGAUCGCGCAGGCAUUGUACCGGGGCAUUACUGACGCUGAGGCUCGAAGGUGCGGGUAUCAAACAGGAUUAGAUACCCUGGUAGUCCGCACAGUAAACGAUGAAUGCCCGCUGUCGGCGACAUAGUGUCGGCGGCCAAGCGAAAGCGUUAAGCAUUCCACCUGGGGAGUACGCCGGCAACGGUGAAACUCAA
rnacentral:rRNA from 1 species